rnacentral:rRNA from 1 species
GAUGAACGCUGGCGGCGUGCCUAAUACAUGCAAGUCGAGCGAACAGACGAGGAGCUUGCUCCUCUGACGUUAGCGGCGGACGGGUGAGUAACACGUGGAUAACCUACCUAAAGACUGGGAUAACUUCGGGAAACCGGAGCUAAUACCGGAUAAUAUAUUGAACCGCAUGGUUCAAUAGUGAAAGACGGUUUUGCUGUCACUUAUAGAUGGAUCCGCGCCGCAUUAGCUAGUUGGUAAGGUAACGGCUUACCAAGGCAACGAUGCGUAGCCGACCUGAGAGGGUGAUCGGCCACACUGGAACUGAGACACGGUCCAGACUCCUACGGGAGGCAGCAGUAGGGAAUCUUCCGCAAUGGGCGAAAGCCUGACGGAGCAACGCCGCGUGAGUGAUGAAGGUCUUCGGAUCGUAAAACUCUGUUAUUAGGGAAGAACAAAUGUGUAAGUAACUAUGCGCGUCUUGACGGUACCUAAUCAGAAAGCCACGGCUAACUACGUG